GUGAGGAAUAUUGCGCAAUGGAGGCAACUCUGACGCAGCCAUGCCGCGUGCAGGAAGAAGGCGCUACGCGUUGUAAACUGCUUUUAACCGGGAAGAAACCCCAGGACGUGUCCUGGGUUGACGGUACCGGAGGAAUAAGCACCGGCUAACUUCGUGCCAGCAGCCGCGGUAAUACGAAGGGUGCAAGCGUUAUCCGGAUUCAUUGGGUUUAAAGGGUGCGUAGGCGGAGCGUUAAGUCAGUGGUGAAAUCCUGCAGCUUAACUGUAGACUUGCCAUUGAUACUGGCGCUCUUGAGUGCGCUUGAAGUGGGCGGAAUGUGCCGUGUAGCGGUGAAAUGCUUAGAUAUGGCACAGAACACCAAUUGCGAAGGCAGCUCACUAAGGCGAUACUGACGCUGAGGCACGAAAGCGUGGGGAUCGAACAGGAUUAGAAACCCCGGUAGUCU
rnacentral:rRNA from 1 species